rnacentral:rRNA from 1 species
UACGUAGGGUGCGAGCGUUGUCCGGAAUUACUGGGCGUAAAGAGCUCGUAGGUGGUUUGUCGCGUUGUCCGUGAAAACUCACAACUCAAUUGUGGGCGUGCGGGCGAUACGGGCAGACUGGAGUACUGCAGGGGAGACUGGAAUUCCCGGUGUAGCGGUGGAAUGCGUAGAUAUCGGGAAGAACACCGGUGGCGAAGGCGGCUCGCUGGGCCGUUGCUGACGCUGAUGCGCGAAAGCGUGGGGAGCAAACAGG